rnacentral:rRNA from 1 species
GGGCCCGCACAAGCGGUGGAGCAUGUGGUUUAAUUCGAAGCAACGCGCAGAACCUUACCCAGGCUUGACAUCCUCAGAACCUCUUGGAAACAAGAGGGUGCCCUCUCACGAGGGAAUUGAGUGACAGGUGCUGCAUGGCUGUCGUCAGCUCGUGCUGUGAGGUGUUCGGUUAAGUCCGGCAACGAGCGCAACCCCUGUCGCUAGUUACCAGCAUUUAGUUGGGGACUCUAGCGAGACUGCCGGUGAUAAACCGGAGGAAGGUGGGGACGACGUCAAGUCCUCAUGGCCCUUAUGUCUGGGGCUACACACGUGCUACAAUGGCAUCUACAGAAGGCAGCGAAGUCGCAAGGCGGAGCAAAUCCUCAAAAGAUGCCUCAGUUCGGAUUGGAGUCUGCAACUCGACUCCAUGAAGUCGGAAUUGCUAGUAAUCGC